rnacentral:rRNA from 1 species
AUGGACGGCUGCAGAGCCGAGGUGCGACGAGCAGAUGGGAAGUCGGCGAGGCGCACAGGAAGCGGCGGCGCCCUAGACGGCUGCAGAGGAGAGAGGCCACAAGGGGAGGAGCUCAGGUGGAGCAACUCCUCGCUUCUGUCACCAUGUCCAAAGUCGUAUCCCUCGAGGCUGCAGUUCUCAAAAAAUAUAGAUCACAAUCUAAUUUUUCCUCUCCUUGAUCCCCUUCUUCCAAGGAUUGAAUCUCUUCAGUUCCAAAAUUCAAAUCAAUGCACAAUCAUCAUCUUAAACAACCACAUGAUCCAAUCCCAGCCUCCCCGGAUGCUUUGCUCCUCAAUAUUUAAAUCCCCUCAGUUUCACCAAGCACCAUGA